rnacentral:rRNA from 1 species
UACGAAGGGUGCUAGCGUUGUUCGGAAUUACUGGGCGUAAAGCGCGCGUAGGCGGCUUUUCAAGUCAGGGGUGAAAUCCCACGGCUCAACCGUGGAAUUGCCUUUGAAACUGUAAAGCUGGAGUGUCGGAGGGGAUAGCGGAAUUCCUAAUGUAGAGGUGAAAUUCGUAGAUAUUAGGAGGAACACCGGUGGCGAGGGCGGCUAUCUGGACGACAACUGACGCUGAGGCGCGAAAGCGUGGGGAUCAAACAGG